UUGCCUACGGGACGCAGCAGUGGGGAAUAUUGCACAAUGGGGGAAACCCUGAUGCAGCAACGCCGCGUGAGUGAAGAAGUCAUUCGUGAUGUAAAGCUCUAUCAGCAGGGAAGAAAAUGACGGUACCUGAGUAAGAAGCCCCGGCUAACUACGUGCCAGCAGCCGCGGUAAUACGUAGGGGGCAAGCGUUAUCCGGAUUUACUGGGUGUAAAGGGAGCGCAGACGGCAGUGCAAGUCUGGAGUGAAAGCCCGGGGCCCAACCCCGGAACUGCUCUGGAAACUGUGCGGCUAGAGUACUGGAGGGG
rnacentral:rRNA from 1 species